rnacentral:lncRNA from 1 species
AUGGUUGUUAUGAUUAGAAAUCCGAGGCCACUGGAAACCCGGAGCUGCUGACCAACGAGUCACAGGGUAACUUCGCCUUCGCAUGGGGAAACGGGCUGGUGCAGUGGUGUCAUCUUGGCUCAGUGCAGCCUCGACUUCCUGGGAUCCAGCGAUCCUCCCGCUUCAGCCUCUAGAGUAGCCGAGACCACAGGAUUUGGAAGAGGGCAGGAGAGAAAAAUGAACUGCAAGACUCCAGCACAAGAGGUGGGAUUGCUGGCAGAUGUCUGCUCCCUCUCCAAACCUAAUGAACAUCUCAAAGUGCCAUCCACUUUCCUAUACCCUUGAUCUGUGAAAUGGAUCACUGACGCUUUCUCUGUCUUUCCGGAAAUGCAAAACAGGAACAGAAACAACACACUCAGACUUGAGAAACUGGUCUGGUUUAAAAGGGUUCCUGGCCUUACAGGUGGGUAAGAAAUGUCACUUCCUGGCAGGCUGAGGAACAUCAGGAUAUUUGGAGGACCUUGACAAGGGAAGAAUUCACCGAAAUCUAUAGGUAUUCCAGGCAAAGUGUGAUAGCAAGAUCCUGGUAUGGUUUCCUAGCCUUGAGAGGCUUUUAAAAGUCUAAUUUGAGAUUCCUUAUUAAAAGAUCCAGAAAAGCCAA